rnacentral:rRNA from 1 species
CACGUAGGGUGCGAGCGUUGUCCGGAAUUAUUGGGCGUAAAGAGCUCGUAGGCGGUUUGUCGCGUCGGCUGUGAAAUCCCGAGGCUCAACCUCGGGCCUGCAGUCGAUACGGGCAAACUAGAGUGUGGUAGGGGAGACUGGAAUUCCUGGUGUAGCGGUGAAAUGCGCAGAUAUCAGGAGGAACACCGGCGGCGAAGGCGGGUCUCUGGGCCAUAACUGACGCUGAGGAGCGAAAGCGUGGGGAGCGAACAGG